GUGGUUGUAGCUCAACAGUAGAGCGCCUGCUUGUGGAGCAGGAGGUCGCGGGGGCAGCACCCGUCUUCCACCCA
rnacentral:tRNA from 1 species